rfam:Loxodonta africana unplaced genomic scaffold scaffold_9, whole genome shotgun sequence.
AUCACCGGGGAUCUUGUUAAGAUGCAGAUUCUGAUCCGGUAUGUAUGGGGUAGGGCCUAAAAUUCUGCAUUUCUAACAAGCUCCCAGGUGAUGCUGA